AUGAACGCUAGCUACAGGCUUAACACAUGCAAGUCGAGGGGCAGCAUGAACUUAGCUUGCUAAGUUUGAUGGCGACCGGCGCACGGGUGAGUAACACGUAUCCAACCUGCCGAUGACUCGGGGAUAGCCUUUCGAAAGAAAGAUUAAUACCCGAUGGCAUAGUUCUUCCGCAUGGUAGAACUAUUAAAGAAUUUCGGUCAUCGAUGGGGAUGCGUUCCAUUAGGUUGUUGGCGGGGUAACGGCCCACCAAGCCUUCGAUGGAUAGGGGUUCUGAGAGGAAGGUCCCCCACAUUGGAACUGAGACACGGUCCAAACUCCUACGGGAGGCAGCAGUGAGGAAUAUUGGUCAAUGGACGAGAGUCUGAACCAGCCAAGUAGCGUGAAGGAUGACUGCCCUAUGGGUUGUAAACUUCUUUUAUACGGGAAUAAAGUGAGGCACGUGUGCCUUUUUGUAUGUACCGUAUGAAUAAGGAUCGGCUAACUCCGUGCCAGCAGCCGCGGUAAUACGGAGGAUCCGAGCGUUAUCCGGAUUUAUUGGGUUUAAAGGGAGCGUAGGCGGACGCUUAAGUCAGUUGUGAAAGUUUGCGGCUCAACCGUAAAAUUGCAGUUGAUACUGGGUGUCUUGAGUACAGUAGAGGCAGGCGGAAUUCGUGGUGUAGCGGUGAAAUGCUUAGAUAUCACGAAGAACUCCGAUUGCGAAGGCAGCCUGCUGGACUGUAACUGACGCUGAUGCUCGAAAGUGUGGGUAUCAAACAGGAUUAGAUACCCUGGUAGUCCACACAGUAAACGAUGAAUACUCGCUGUUUGCGAUAUACAGUAAGCGGCCAAGCGAAAGCGUUAAGUAUUCCACCUGGGGAGUACGCCGGCAACGGUGAAACUCAAAGGAAUUGACGGGGGCCCGCACAAGCAGUGGAGUAUGUGGUUUAAUUCGAAGCAACGCGAAGAACCUUACCAGGUCUUGACAUCCCGAUGCUAUUUCUAGAGAUAGGAAGUUACUUCGGUACAUCGGUGACAGGUGGUGCAUGGUUGUCGUCAGCUCGUGCCGUGAGGUGUCGGCUUAAGUGCCAUAACGAGCGCAACCCUUAUCGAUAGUUACCAUCAGGUUAUGCUGGGGACUCUGUCGAGACUGCCGUCGUAAGAUGUGAGGAAGGUGGGGAUGACGUCAAAUCAGCACGGCCCUUACGUCCGGGGCUACACACGUGUUACAAUGGGGGGUACAGAAGGCAGCUACACGGCGACGUGAUGCUAAUCCCGAAAGCCUCUCUCAGUUCGGAUUGGAGUCUGCAACCCGACUCCAUGAAGCUGGAUUCGCUAGUAAUCGCGCAUCAGCCACGGCGCGGUGAAUACGUUCCCGGGCCUUGUACACACCGCCCGUCAAGCCAUGAAAGCCGGGGGUACCUGAAGUACGUAACCGCGAGGAUCGUCCUAGGGUAAAACCGGUAAUUGGGGCU
rnacentral:rRNA from 1 species